GCCACGGUGGUCUAGCGGUUAGAACGCUGGCCUUGUAAUCCUAGCUGUUAGAACGCUGGCCUUGUAAUCCUGGGGUCUCGGGUUCGAUUCCCGGCGGUGGCC
rnacentral:tRNA from 1 species